UCGCUGCGCUGGGAGCCGGGGCCUGGCUGGCAACCGACCGACUCGGUGCCUGCAAGCCGUGGGCUUCGGCUCUCACAUCCCCCGAACUGGCCUCAGGCGCUCGCGCUCCGUGAGGAGGCGGAGGGAAGCAGACAGCGCGGCCCGCGCUGCUCCCGGACUGUCCCAUAAACAAAGUUUGGAGCAAACUCCCACUCCCAGGAAAGAGGCGGGCCCGAAAGUUGAGCUAUUGAAUUAUGCAUGACCUCCAAGUCCUGAGCCUGCCUGCCCCAGCUCGUCCCUCCCCUUCCUCCUCCUCCUCCUUCCACCCGGCUCCAGAAAGCCCUGGGCGUGAUGGGUACUUUGCAGGGUCACCAGGGGUUGAGAAGAAACCUGGUUAAUGCUGGGCUUUGGAAAGGGAGAGCAUUCGCGCCCCCCCCCCGCGACAUCCGCGCGGGGAGUGGGAGGAUUGGAAUUUCCCUGACGCCCUCCGGAGAGCCUGGAGCCGGGAUGGAACCGUAGCAGGUGGCAGGGAGUAGAGAGGGUGCGCCAGUGACCCGGAAAAAGCCACCCACCCUCCCACCGACUGGUACUGAGCGAGGGGUGGAGACCCCCUGCUUCUAGAUCUAGCCUCGCAAGACAGCUGCGGAAAGUGGGAAGUGGCCUGGCCCCCCGGAGCGGCUCAGUUCCUUUUUUCCCUUUCCCGCUCUCCAGUUGGGGAGAAGGGGAGAGUGGCUGCGAGGUUGUCACGCUCCUGAAAGCCCCUACCCGACUCCAUUUCAUUUAAACAGAAGUUUAUGAAGUAAGUCAAAUGAAGCAAUACAUGUAAAGCGCUUUGAAGUCACCCGGCCCCCCUACAUAUCUGUUUGUUAAAUGAAAUGAAACUGUAUUAAGUGCAA